rnacentral:rRNA from 1 species
UACGUAGGGGGCUAGCGUUGUCCGGAAUCAUUGGGCGUAAAGGGCGCGUAGGCGGCCUUCUUAGUCAGACGUGAAAUCCCUAGGCUUAACCUAGGAACUGCGUCUGAUACUGGAAGGCUCGAGUUCGGGAGAGGAAUGUGGAAUUCCAGGUGUAGCGGUGAAAUGCGUAGAUAUCUGGAGGAACACCGGUGGCGAAGGCGGCAUUCUGGACCGAAACUGACGCUGAGGCGCGAAAGCCAGGGGAGCAAACGGG